rnacentral:rRNA from 1 species
ACGGAAGGCAGCAGUGGGGGAUAUUGCACAAUGGGGGAAACCCUGAUGCAGCGACGCCGCGUGAGUGAUGAAGUAUUUCGGUAUGUAAAGCUCUAUCAGCAGGGAAGAAAAUGACGGUACCUGACUAAGAAGCUCCGGCUAAAUACGUGCCAGCAGCCGCGGUAAUACGUAUGGAGCAAGCGUUAUCCGGAUUUACUGGGUGUAAAGGGAGCGCAGGCGGUUUUUUAAGUCUGAUGUGAAAGCCCGCGGCUCAACUGCGGGACUGCAUUGGAAACUGGAGAACUAGAGUGUCGGAGGGGCAAGUGGAAUUCCUAGUGUAGCGGUGAAAUGCGUAGAUAUUAGGAGGAACACCAGUGGCGAAGGCGGCUUGCUGGACGAUAACUGACGCUGAGGCUCGAAAGCGUGGGGAGCAAACAGGAUUAGAUACCCUGGUA